rnacentral:lncRNA from 1 species
UGCAGGUGACCAGCCUCUGGACAAAAUGUGUCAUGCUAAGGACACAAAUCCAGAAGAUGGUGUUGUCAUUAGCGAGCACGGUGAAGACGAGAUGGACAUGGAGAGCGAGAAGGAGGAGGAGAAGCCCAAGGCUGGGGGUGCCUUCUCCAAUGCUCUGUCUUCCCUGAACGUGCUCCGCCCAGGUGUGUGCUUACAGGGAUCACCUAGCCUGGCCUAGGGGAACCACCACAGAAGUGCUGUUUGUAAUUAGUACAUCUUUGUAAGGCGAGCUUCUGUGCUUCCAGAUGUACAAAUACAAGAACCAAAAGCUU